UACGAAGGGGGCUAGCGUUGUUCGGAAUCACUGGGCGUAAAGCGCUCGUAGGCGGACCUUUAAGUCAGAGGUGAAAUCCCAAGGCUCAACCUUGGAACUGCCUUUGAUACUGGGGAUCUCGAGUCCGGGAGAGGUGAGUGGAACUGCGAGUGUAGAGGUGAAAUUCGUAGAUAUUCGCAAGAACACCAGUGGCGAAGGCGGCUCACUGGCCCGGUACUGACGCUGAGGAGCGAAAGCGUGGGGAGCAAACAGG
rnacentral:rRNA from 1 species